rnacentral:rRNA from 1 species
AAUGGGGGAUAACUAGUCGAAAGACUAGCUAAUACCGCAUAUGCCCUGAGGGGGAAAGUGGGGGAUCGCAAGACCUCACGUUUUCGGAGCGGCCGAUAUCAGAUUAGCUAGUUGGUGGGGUAAAGGCCUACCAAGGCGACGAUCUGUAGCUGGUCUGAGAGGACGACCAGCCACACUGGGACUGAGACACGGCCCAGACUCCUACGGGAGGCAGCAGUGGGGAAUUUUGGACAAUGGGGGCAACCCUGAUCCAGCCAUGCCGCGUGAGUGAAGAAGGCCUUCGGGUUGUAAAGCUCUUUCGGACGGGAAGAAAACGCCAUUUCUAAUACAAGUGGUGGAUGACGGUACCGUAAGAAGAAGCACCGGCUAACUACGUGCCAGCAGCCGCGGUAAUACGUAGGGUGCGAGCGUUAAUCGGAAUUACUGGGCGUAAAGCGUGCGCAGGCGGUUUUGUAAGACAGAUGUGAAAUCCCCGGGCUCAACCUGGGAACUGCAUUUGUGGCUGCAAGGCUAGAGUGCGGCAGAGGGGGGUAGAAUUCCA